rnacentral:rRNA from 1 species
ACGCUCGACACCUACGGGAGGAGCAGUGGGGAAUAUUGCACAAUGGGGGAAACCCUGAUGCAGCGACGCCGCGUGAGCGAAGAAGUAUUUCGGUAUGUAAAGCUCUAUCAGCAGGGAAGAAAGUGACGGUACCUGACUAAGAAGCACCGGCUAAAUACGUGCUAGCAGCCGCGGUAAUCUGAGCGGGCUGGCAAGGC